rnacentral:rRNA from 1 species
CCGUUUUUGGUUGGUGGAUCGAUCCGUCUGGUUAAUUCCGUUAACGAACGAGACCUCGGCACUCCGAAUAGCGCGGCGGACGUCGCGGCCUCCGGGCCGUCUUCCGCACGAGCUUCUUAGAGGGACCGUCCCCCCGCCGGGGAAGGAGGUGCGAGGCAACGACAGGUCUGUGAUGCCCUUAGAUGUUCUGGGCCGCACGCGCAUUACACUGACGCGUCCAACGGGUGACUCCCGACCCGAAGGGGCCGGGGAAUCCGCAAGGCGCGUCGUGAUGGGGAUUGAACGUUGCAAUUGUUGUUCACGAACGAGGAAUUCCUAGUAGGCGCGGGUCAUCAACCCGCGCCGAUUACGUCCCUGCCCCUUUGUACACACCGCCCCGUCGCUCCUACCGAUCGAACGGUCCGGUGAGGACCCAGGACGGCGCGGGGACCCGAGGGGCCGAAAGGCUCCGCGACCCGUGUCGGAAUCCGUCCGAACCUUACCGUUUAGAGGAAGGAGAU